UGGGUGUUGACGCGGUAACGAUGUCUUGGAUCUCUCCCUCCCCCUCCUUUUGCAGACCGCGCUCGCGUGCGACGCCCCGCCCACCUCGCCCCACACUUCCCUGCUUUCGCUCUUCGCCUCCCGUGGCUGAAGGAGAGGAGGGGGGCGGGCUUGAAGAAAAGAUGCAGAGCCGGCCGCGCGCGCGCGCACAGGCCGGGUGAGACUACGGCGCGUGCGCGGGUUCCGGAGUGCCACGCGCUCUCCUUUCCUUUGCAACCCCUCCGGAAGGCAGGCUCCGUCCGGUCUCCUCGUAGUGCGCGUGCGCCCUGGAAUCGCUUCCCUUCCAAGGUCUGAGUUCGUGCCGGCGAACUCCCGCUUCUUCGCUAUCGCUCCGCCUGGGACUUCACGUGCGCCAAGGCGGCUGCAGAGGCGGGGCCUGGCUGGGUCGCUUUUCCGAGGGCGCAGAAAAAAACACUUCUUUCCCACAUCAGAUGUUUCUUGAAGUAUGGAGUGAGUGCCACGAUUAUAACUCUCAAUACUCUAUUCCAAUGCUACUAGCAAGUUUCCUGAUGUGGCAUUCAAGGGAACAAAAUCUAUACCAGUGACCCCAGGAGAACCCACAAAAGGGAGAAGUGACCUUAUGAAGGUGGGAUCAGGAUUGCCCUAAAUGACCUCUGACUUCUUGUCCAAGGAGGAUAACGAUAUCCGAAGUUGAUCUUAGUGGUUUUACAGGGACAAGUCUUCAAGUGAGUGGAGGGGAGAGUCUCUGUCGUCCUGCUCUGCCAGUCGGUGACUCAGUGG